rnacentral:rRNA from 1 species
UACGUAGGGUGCGAGCGUUGUCCGGAAUUAUUGGGCGUAAAGGGCUCGUAGGCGGUUUGUCGCGUCGGAAGUGAAAACACGGGGCUUAACUCUGUGCUUGCUUUCGAUACGGGCAGACUAGAGGGAUGCAGGGGAGAACGGAAUUCCUGGUGUAGCGGUGAAUGACGCAGAUAUCAGGAGGAACACCGGUGGCGAAGGCGGUUCUCUGGGCAUUCCCUGACGCUGAGGAGCGAAAGUGUGGGGAGCGAACAGG